CCUCUUAUUAGACAGUAGGGACGAAACAUAAUAUUUAGGUAGGAUUAUAUAUAAUAAGUUCAAAUCUUAUAUAGAGUA